rnacentral:misc_RNA from 1 species
GAUGAAGAACGUAGCGAAAUGCGAUACUUGGUGUGAAUUGCAGAAUCCCGUGAACCAUCGAGUCUUUGAACGCAAGUUGCGCCCGAAGCCAUUAGGCCGAGGGCACGCCUGCCUGGGCGUCACACGUCGUUGCCCCCCCAUCUACUCCUUCGGGAUUGCGGGGGGCGGAUGAUGGCCUCCCGUGCGCCUCGCCGCGCGGUUGGCAUAAAUGCCAAGUCCUCGGCGACGCACGCCACGACAAUCGGUGGUUGCGAAACCUCGGUUGCCCGUCGUGUGCGGUCGUCGCGCAUCGAGGGCUCGAAAAAAUUGCCGGGUUCCGGCUCGGCUUUCAACGCGACCCCAGGUCAGGCGGGGUUACUCGCUGAAUUUAAGCAUAUCAAUAAGCGGAGGA